ACUCAGUGAAAUUGAAAUCGCUGUGAAGAUGCAGUGUACCCGCGGCAAGACGGAAAGACCCCGUGAACCUUUACUACAGCUUGACACUGAACAUUGAGCCUUGAUGUGUAGGAUAGGUGGGAGGCUUCGAAGCGCGGACGCCAGUCCGCGUGGAGCCAUCCUUGAAAUACCACCCUUUAACGUUUGAUGUUCUAACGUGGGCCCGU
rnacentral:rRNA from 1 species